CCUACGGGGGGCAGCAGUAGGGAAUAUUGCUCAAUGGGGGAAACCCUGAAGCAGCAACGCCGCGUGAAGGAUGAAGGUCUUCGGAUUGUAAACUCCUUUUGUUAGGGAAGAUAAUGACUGUAUCUAACGAAUAAGCUCCGGCUAACUCCGUGCCAGAAGCCGCGGUAAUACGGAGGGUGCAAGCGUUACUCGGAAUCACUGGGCGUAAAGAGCGCGUAGGCGGGAUAGCAAGUCAGAUGUGAAAUCCUAUGGCUUAACCAUAGAACUGCAUUUGAAACUGUUAGUCUUGAGUAUAGUAGAGGUAGGUGGAAUUCUUGGUGUAGCGGUAAAAUGCGUAGAGAUCAAGAGGAAUACUCAUUGCGAAGGCGACCUGCUAGACCAUAACUGACGCUGAUGCGCGAAAGCGUGGGGAGCAAACAGGAUUAGAUACCCUUGUAGUC
rnacentral:rRNA from 1 species